GCAGUCUCAGGCCGAACAGGCCACAGGUAUGUUCUUAAUUCUGUCAUUUUUCUGCAUGGCCUGCAUGAUUCAUUGUUCUCUAUAAACAACAGAUGAAAGGGUGUGGAUCUCUUUGCUCAGUUGUGUCAAAGCUUACGGGUUUGCUUUGGAAAUUGGGAGUUGCUUCGGUACCUCAGUGUGUCUGGGCAGCACUUUCAAGGACUGUCAAUCCUGAGAAUGUUGAGGUUUUGGGUCAAUCUCAGGUUCGUCAGCCCAUGAAAAGCUGUCUUCGCCUAAUCCUAGUAUGAUCAGUAAUGUUUCGUAUAAACAUCAUCUGUUUAUUUAAACUUUUUAACAUACAUUGCAUUUUGAUAUAGAUUUCAUGAAAAUUAAAGCUACUGUUAUUUGUAUAUUAUUAUUUUUGCUUAUGUAGAUCCUGCUUUUUAUGAUUAAUGUGCAUGGUUUCUUUUGUGACAAUCACUAUUUACUAACAGUGAAUGUUUAAAGACUCACUGCAAAUUACAAAUUUGGUUUACCAAGUUGUUUAAAAUGCUCAUGCCCAUUAUGGUUAUGAUAAUCUGGGGAUAGGUUUUAAACUGCCAAAAUAAAUAAUUAUUUUUCAUGGUUUUUUUAAAUUAUUUAAUUAAUUUUAUAGAACAGAUCAAUUGGCGUUUGUGGAGUUUACAACUAUUUUAAAUCUUCUUAACAUUAAGUAUUUAAAAAAAAUGGAUCCUUGGUAAUUCUUUCCAUAUUUAAAUUUUUCUCAAAUUUUGGUUUAGAAAACAGCAUAGUAAACCCAUUAAUAGUCAGAAGUCUUUAGGUUUGAGUAGCCCAUGUAUAUUGGAAGUUAUCGAUACAAAAAUGUAUGUUUCCUUAAUGUAAUGCAAAGGUAUGAAACAAUUUACACCAUGAAAUCAUUAUACAGUAUAUAUUAUUAAUGUUUUUCUGUUUGUUGGGGUGUGGAGGUUGUUUAUUUGAAUUCUCAUUUAGAAAAAUAACAGCCGUAACUCUGAACAGUUGCUUUUCUUUUUUACAUUCUAAAUAAAAAAGUUCUCUAUAACUUACUAUAAUAUAUAUGAAUAUAAAAUAUAUAUGAAAAUAACUAUCAUUAUUUAUCACCAUUAUGCAAUGCAAUGAGAUUGAGAUUUACAUUUCAAUGAAAUUAAAGUGAAAGGUUUCAGCUCCGCUGCUACUGACAUAAGUGAAAGGUGCUAGAGCUCAGCAUCCUUGACUCCUGUUCUCAUAAUUAGUUUUUUUUUGUCACAGAGCACAGAAAAUGUAAUAUUAAAUUGCUAGUACCAUGAUUCUGUGUGGUGAAAAAAGUUGACAAAAUGAGGGUAAAUUUUAUUUCAGGACUUGAUGGAAAAAGAAAUUAUCAGUUUAUUUGUCCUAAUUCAGAGGUUUCAAGCACCUAUCUGCUCUUCCCCAGUUUGUACUAUUACACGAUUGUAACACGAUUGUACUAUUUCUGGGCAGGGAGAUUACAAUUAAUAUAUUUAAAGUUAUUAGUUAAUAAAACUGCAGUAAAGUCUUAUGUACUGUGUACAGUAUCUGUGAACAAUUUAGGACAAUAGUUUUACAGAUCACCACAAGAGGGGCCAUUGUCCAUGAGAAUGUGAAGGUUUUCAUUAAAACACUACUGAUGGGGACAUGUCUAUUACGAUGCAUUUUUUGCAUGUGACUGGAGUUGAAAAUAAUAAAAAUUUCAUACUGGUUAAUACCUCUGUACAGCCAUGGAUGUUUAGACAUUUUAUGAAAAACAAUGAUGUAAAUCCUUUUGACACAGCAGCUGAAAUACACUGGAAUGCAUCUGCAUCCACAUACUUUAUGUGCAUAGUUGACUAGUAUCUUGUUUGGAUAUAGCCUUAUAACCCUUCCCAAAUCAAUAAAGAGCAACACUUGCUUCUCUGA